rnacentral:lncRNA from 1 species
ACACCGAAAUUUACGUGGGAAAACUCCAACUUGGAGAAAAACCCACGGGACCAACACGCGAAAAAAUAAUUCACUAAGAGAAAAGAUUACAAGGUGAUUACCGACUCUACGGACUCAACCUCUCUUAACCUCCUAUGAAUCUCGCGCAAUCCUCCGGGUUGUCCACGCCCUCAUGUUCGAAUCCACGAACGCCACGUUCCGAAUCCACGAAACGCCUCCACUCCGAAUCCACGAAGCUC